rnacentral:lncRNA from 1 species
UUUAGUAUAUAUCCAAAAAUUUAUAAAAAAAUUAUUUAAAAUUUUUUUUUUUGAGAAAUAGGUAGUAAGCUACCUGCUUCACUCAUUAAGCAAAAUGAAUUAAGCGUACAAAAUGGAAGCAGCCAGGGCCUCCGAAAGAACAGGCAAAAAAUGAUGAAAUAAAAUUGAAAGGUAGAAAGAAAACAAAAAGAACGGAAAGAGGAGGGGUGUUAAUAGGGAGAGAAGGGAUAGUAGCUGGAACCGAAACGACACAUCACAGCAAAGAGUUCCAGUCGUUUAGCAGAAGUUUGACAUGUUCAAGAGACCGGGUAGCACUGUGUGUGGUUCCUCGGAAAAUUAUUUAAAAAUUAUAAGCGAGAAUUAAAAUAUG